GGACCGCUGGUCUAUCUAAACCCUGCCAUAUUUAAAACUUAGCGCAGCCCUGUUUAGUUAUCCUGGUGCAAGCUUUAGCUUGCUCAACAGGGCUGAAAAAUUAGCCUAAAGCAAGAUGGCCAAAAACUGCAGUUUUUUUGCAGUUUGUUGUUACCUGAAUUCUGUUUUCUUACUCCUCCCAAUUCAAGUGUGUAAUCCUAGCUACGGUGGCCGCUGUAGGACAAAUAACUCCGUUAGUCCAUCAGUCUGCUGUUUACCUCAGUUAAACACUGUGUGUCCACCUCUCUUUACUCUGGACCAGGCUGUAAAAAAAGACACCGAUAAAAGUCGAUGAGUCGACGAAGCUUCUUCACUUCUUUCUGAUGAUACUGAGAGUAUGAGCAUGAACCCAGUCAUAGUGGAGAGUGGAUAGUGAGCUGCUGCAGAGCGAGGCACCGGCAGCUAAAAAUCAGAUUCAUUGAUACGGGAAACAAAGGUAAGCUGUUUAGAGUGCGACAAUUAACCAACAUUCAACAGGUGAUCAGAUGGAGCUCGUGUCAUGUCCCGAUUGCUGUGUGGGAACAGGCAUCAUACAUGUAAUGGGAAAAAAAAAAAUAAAAAAUAAAAAAAAAAUUAUACACUCACCAGGUAUGAAGAGAAGUAAAUGAAAUGAAAAGAGGAGUGGAAAUGAUCAGAGGAUGUGUGAAAUUGGCUGGGGAUACAUGUGAAGAGCCUUCCUGGUCUUCUUUGCAGAUUUUUUGGGGGAUUUUCAUUUGUAGUGUACAGACUUCACUUCAAACAGAGUUCCACAAAUUGUUCUGCAUGAUUGCUUGAAAAUUGAAAACGGCAGGGGGAAAAAAAAAGUCUGGGACUGAAUUUACUCGAUAUCUCAAAACACAAUUACAAGGCUUUUAACCGUUUGUGUCACGCAGACAGAUCGACUUGGUGGCAUCACACACAAAUUAGCAGAUGUUCGGCUCAAGCCAAAAAAACCAAAAAAAACAACACAAAACAAAACCAGUGCCAGAGAGCAGGCAGUCAUUGUGUAAAGAGGAGCGCGAGCACACAGAAUAGACUGGUGAGGUCCCCGAGGAGCUGCUUCACUACCCUGCAGCUUUACACUUCUGCUGUGGGUGAACACAAAACGCAUUACAACAGAGCAGCGGGGCGCGUGGACAGGCAGCAAAGUGUUUCUGCAGGACAAACACACACAGGAGCUGUGAUCACAAACUUUUAAUGCUCACGCACAACAAUUUUUUUAUUCUUAUGUUCAAUAAUCAAAAUAGACAAAUAUACACACUGUGUGUUGUUGCAAAACCUGAUAUUUGAUUAAUUCUGUGCCCCCCGUCCGAAAGAGCUCUUCAGGAUGCUCUAAUGCAAAUUAUCAUUUUCUAUAGUCAGAGUCUGCACUGACAGAUUAUUACUGUUCCUGAGAUUUGGUGUGUUACAGCACACAGGAAACCAGGACAGACGAACCACUGCAAGUCCACCUUAAGAUUUCUUCCACAUCCUCACUCCUGUCAGAAGCCAGCUGAUGAUAAAAGAUUCAUUUAGAUCUCAUUAACAUGACGCCGGUGCAGCCAACAAUAAAAGUUGACAGAGCAAAUCCCUUCCAUUCAUUGUUGGACCUGAAGUUCAAGCUGAAA